CAGGGUGACCAAUUGUCCUGGUUUGCCUGAGACUGAGGGGUUUCCUGUAAUGCUGGAUUGUCAGUGCUGAUACCAGAAAAGUCCCAGGCAAACCAGGAGUAAGUUGGUCACCCAGAACGCUG
rnacentral:pre_miRNA from 1 species